rnacentral:rRNA from 1 species
UGGGGAAUAUUGCGCAAUGGGCGAAAGCCUGACGCAGCAACGCCGCGUGAGUGAUGAAGGCCUUCGGGUCGUAAAGCUCUGUCGGAGGGAACGAAUGCUCUUGAGGUUAACAGCCUCGGGAGGUGACGGUACCCUCAAAGGAAGCACCGGCUAACUCUGUGCCAGCAGCCGCGGUAAUACAGAGGGUGCAAGCGUUGUUCGGAAUCAUUGGGCGUAAAGGGCGUGUAGGCGGUAUGUUAAGUCAUGUGUGAAAUCCCUCGGCUCAACCGGGGAACGACGCAUGAAACUAGCAAGCUAGAGUACCAAAGAGGGUGGUGGAAUUCCCGGUGUAGCGGUGAAGUGCGUAGAUAUCGGGAGGAACACCUGUGGCGAAGGCGGCCACCUGGUUGGAUACUGACGCUGAGACGCGAAAGCGUGGGGAGCAAACAGGAUUAGAUACCCCGGUAGUCCCUGAGCGGGCUGGCAAGGCGCAU